UUGUAUAGUCACAGCAUGUACAAAUAACAACGUCAAAUGAGACAUAGCCAUAUUCUAACCACGUACUAACUGGGAACUAUGUUCUCAGAAAGGCGAAGCACUGCUACUUCUGCGGAGUGAUUUGCUAGCAGCACCCGAGAAGCCCGGUCACGGAGCAGAGAGUUCUCCUGGAGAUUGCUCAGAGUUCGAGUAAUAGAGUCAACAAUUACUAGAUACUAAAAGCAUAGAGACCUUUUUGUUUGUG